UCCUACGGGACGCAGCUGAGGAAUAUUGGUCAAUGGGCGGAAGCCUGAACCAGCCAAGUCGCGUGAGGGAAUAAGGCCCUACGGGUCGUAAACCUCUUUUGCCGGGGAGCAAGGGCGGGGACGUGUCCCGGCCCGGAGAGUACCCGGAGAAAAAGCAUCGGCUAACUCCGUGCCAGCAGCCGCGGUAAUACGGAGGAUGCGAGCGUUAUCCGGAUUUAUUGGGUUUAAAGGGUGCGUAGGCGGGCUUUUAAGUCAGCGGUAAAAAUUCGGGGCUCAACCCCGUCCGGUCGUUGAAACUGGGAGCC
rnacentral:rRNA from 1 species